rnacentral:rRNA from 1 species
AACGCGAACCCCAGUCAGG